rnacentral:rRNA from 1 species
GAUGAACGCUAGCUACAGGCUUAACACAUGCAAGUCGAGGGGAAACGGCAUUGAGUGCUUGCACUCUUUGGACGUCGACCGGCGCACGGGUGAGUAACGCGUAUCCAACCUUCCCAUUACUGUGGGAUAACCUGCCGAAAGGCAGACUAAUACCGCAUAGUCUUCGAUGACGGCAUCAGAUUUGAAGUAAAGAUUUAUCGGUAAUGGAUGGGGAUGCGUCUGAUUAGCUUGUUGGCGGGGUAACGGCCCACCAAGGCUACGAUCAGUAGGGGUUCUGAGAGGAAGGUCCCCCACAUUGGAACUGAGACACGGUCCAAGCUCCUACGGGAGGCAGCAGUGAGGAAUAUUGGUCAAUGGACGGAAGUCUGAACCAGCCAAGUAGCGUGCAGGAUGACGGCCCUAUGGGUUGUAGACUGCUUUUGUAUGGGGAUAAAGUUAGGGACGUGUCCCUAUUUGCAGGUACCAUACG